rnacentral:rRNA from 1 species
GACAAUACAUAUUACAGUGUUAACUAAACAGAGAACAGAGCUCUGAUUAUUAUCACAGAUUUUCCUCGGAUCCAGUAAAAUUAAUUUGCAGAACAGAGUUGUGAGCAUCACCAAAUCGGACUCAAGGAAUUCUAUUUUGAGCAUCAAUGAAUCGAAUCCAUACAUCCAGGCAACGUACAGAGGUGUGAGUGACAAGAACUGGACCCAACCAUGAGAUAAACAUCAGCUACAAGAACAGAAUGCGACAGCUGAGCGUGGCGGCCGGCUGGAUGUGCGGCUUGGCCUUGGCUCCCGGCGGCGCGAGCUCAGGCCUCAGGCGCGGUAACAGCCGGCGCUUGGAGCGACUGCCUCGUUGCUCCCCGCCGUGUCCGCCGCUUUUGCCCCACCACAAGACCGCCAUGCACCUGCUCCUUCGGAGGAAGACGAGACAAGGGAGCCGGCGUUGCAGAUCG